rnacentral:rRNA from 1 species
UACCGGGGCUAAACGUAUCACCGAAGCUGCGGACUGUUCUUACGAACAGUGGUAGGAGAGCGUUCUAAGGGCUGUGAAGCCAGACCGGAAGGACUGGUGGAGCGCUUAGAAGUGAGAAUGCCGGUAUGAGUAGCGAAAGACGGGUGAGAAUCCCGUCCACCGAAUGCCUAAGGUUUCCUGAGGAAGGCUCGUCCGCUCAGGGUUAGUCGGGACCUAAGCCGAGGCCGAAAGGCGUAGGCGAUGGACAACAGGUUGAUAUUCCUGUACCACCUCCUCACCAUUUGAGCAAUGGGGGGACGCAGGAGGAUAGGGUAAGCGCGGUAUUGGAUAUCCGCGUCCAAGCAGUUAGGCUGGGAAAUAGGCAAAUCCGUUUCCCGUGAAGGCUGAGCUGUGAUGGCGAGCGAAAUUUAGUAGCGAAGUUCCUGAUUCCACACUGCCAAGAAAAGCCUCUAGCGAGGUGAGAGGUGCCCGUACCGCAAACCGACACAGGUAGGCGAGGAGAGAAUCCUAAGGUGAUCGAGAGAACUCUCGUUAAGGAACUCGGCAAAAUGACCCCGUAACUUCGGGAGAAGGGGUGCUUCUUAGGGUGUUAAAGCCCCGAGAAGCCGCAGUGAAUAGGCCCAGGCGACUGUUUAGCAAAAACACAGGUCUCUGCGAAGCCGUAAGGCGAAGUAUAGGGGCUGACGCCUGCCCGGUGCUGGAAGGUUAAGAGGAGCGCUUAGCGUAAGCGAAGGUGCGAAUUGAAGCCCCAGUAAACGGCGGCCGUAACUAUAACGGUCCUAAGGUAGCGAAAUUCCUUGUCGGGUAAGUUCCGACCCGCACGAAAGGCGCAACGAUCUGGGCACUGUCUCAACGAGAGACUCGGUGAAAUUAUAGUACCUGUGAAGAUGCAGGUUACCCGCGACAGGACGGAAAGACCCCGUGGAGCUUUACUGCAGCCUGAUAUUGAAUGUUGGUACAGCUUGUACAGGAUAGGUAGGAGCCUUGGAAACCGGAGCGCUAGCUUCGGUGGAGGCAUCGGUGGGAUACUACCCUGGCUGUAUUGACCUUCUAACCCGCUGCCCUUAUCGGGCAGGGAGACAGUGUCAGGUGGGCAGUUUGACUGGGGCGGUCGCCUCCUAAAAUGUAACGGAGGCGCCCAAAGGUUCCCUCAGAAUGGUUGGAAAUCAUUCGCAGAGUGUAAAGGCACAAGGGAGCUUGACUGCGAGACCUACAAGUCGAGCAGGGACGAAAGUCGGGCUUAGUGAUCCGGUGGUUCCGCAUGGAAGGGCCAUCGCUCAACGGAUAAAAGCUACCCCGGGGAUAACAGGCUUAUCUCCCCCAAGAGUCCACAUCGACGGGGAGGUUUGGCACCUCGAUGUCGGCUCAUCGCAUCCUGGGGCUGUAGUCGGUCCCAAGGGUUGGGCUGUUCGCCCAUUAAAGCGGUACGCGAGCUGGGUUCAGAACGUCGUGAGACAGUUCGGUCCCUAUCCGUCGCGGGCGCAGGAAAUUUGAGAGGAGCUGUCCUUAGUACGAGAGGACCGGGAUGGACGCACCGCUGGUGUACCAGUUGUUCUGCCAAGGGCAUCGCUGGGUAGCUAUGUGCGGACGGGAUAAGUGCUGAAAGCAUCUAAGCAUGAAGCCCCCCUCAAGAUGAGAUUUCCCAUUCCGCAAGGAAGUAAGAUCCCUGAAAGAUGAUCAGGUUGAUAGGUCUGAGGUGGAAGCGUGGUGACACGUGGAGCUGACAGAUACUAAUAGAUCGAGGACUUAACCUAUA